rnacentral:lncRNA from 1 species
CUCCCUCAGAACUGUAGACAAGAYUAAGACCCUGAUCCCAAAGUUCCAGCAUCUGCAGUCCCCUGGGUAUUUUUGGUCACUCCUACAAUUGGAAUAAGGAUCACUUGUCACAUGCUAUAAAACUUGGCUUUUGGCUCAAGGCUGCAUAUGAUCUUUGCCUCCAAAUUAGGUUUCACCGUAUUUCUUCCAUUAUCCAUUGAAGCAUGGAGAAAUUAGAUGAAGAAAGYAGCAGAGGGUUGCCCAUCUCUGGGAACCAAAAUGGGGCAGGAAAAGUGGAAGAAGGUGCCUCCAGCAAGCAGGGAAUGGAGCAUCUGACUUAACUGAGGUGUGCUGGGACCUGAGGCUCUCCCUAUGCUUUUCUACAGCUGGGUGGCAGCAUUUCUGCAGUGAUUCAUGUGCAUGGCCUUUAGGGCAUGUUUGGGGAUGCCGUGAAAAACAAACCUGAGAACUAGCGUCAAAGAAACCUGCAUGCAAAGGUGUGCAAGAUCUCAGAGCUUCACAACCAAGGGCUUGGAACCUCAUGGUUGGAUGGUCCGACCGAAUAGCACUGAGACAUCUUGCUCUCUGGAUAUCGCCACUGCACAAAGCCCCUGCCAGCUUCCCAGGACCAUCCGUACAGCCGCAGAGCCGGCUCUGCCUCCAUCUUUAUUCUGGAUUGCACCUGAGCUGUAG